UGAUGGAUAGCUGGCCUGAGAGGGUGGUCGGCCACAUUGGGACUGAGACACUGCCCAAACUCCUACGGGAGGCUGCAGUCGAGGAUAUUUCGCAAUGGGGGAAACCCUGACGAUGCGACGCCGCGUGAGGGAUGAAGGCCUUCGGGUUGUAAACCUCUGUGUUAUGGGAAGAAACGUAAGUUAGUGAAAGCUAUCUUAUCUGACUGUACCAUGAUAGAAAGCCCCAGCAAACUGCGUGCCAGCAGCUGCGGUAACACGUAGGGGGCUAGCGUUGUCCGGAAUCAUUGGGCGUAAAGGGUGUGUAGGUGGCCGUGUAAGUCUUAUGUGAAAUUGCUGGGCUCAACCGAGCAACUGCAUUUGAUACUACAUGGCUUGAGUACAGGAGAGGGAAGUGGAAUGGGUAGUGUAACGGUGAAAUGUGUAGAUAUUAUCCAGAACACCAGUGGCGAAGGCGGCUUCCUAGCCUGAUACUGACGCUGAGGCACGAAAGCCAGGGUAGCGAACGGGAUUAGAUACCCCGGUAGUCCUGGCCGUAAACGAUGGGCACUAAGUGUAGGAGGUAUCGACCCCUCCUGUGCUGUAGCUAACGCAUUAAGUGCCCCGCCUGGGGAGUACGGCCGCAAGGCUAAAACUCAAGGUAAUUGACGGGGACCCGCACAAGCGGUGGAGCAUGUCGCUCAAUUCGAAGCAACGCGAAGAACCUUAUCCAGGGCUUGACAUCCUCUGACCACCAUAGAAAUAUGGUUUUUCCUUCGGGAACAGAGUGACAGGUGCUGCAUGGCUGUCGUCAGCUCGUGUCGUGAGAUGUUGGGUUAAGUCCCGCAACGAGCGCAACCCUUGCUCUUAGUUGCCAGCGGGUAAUGCCGGGGACUCUAAGAGGACUGCCUGCGACGAGCAGGAGGAAGGUGGGGAUGACGUCAAGUCCGCAUGGCCCUUAAGCUCUGGGCUGCACACGUGCUACAAUGGCCGGUACAACGGGAGUUGAAACCGUGAGGUGGAACGAAUCCCUAAAAACCGGCCCCAGUUCGGAUUGUAGUCUGCAACUCGACUACAUGAAGUUGGAAUCGCUAGUAAUCGCGGAUCAGCAGGUCGCGGUGAAUACGUUCCCGGGUCUUGUACACACCGCCCGUCACGCCAUGAAAGCCGGUAAUAUCCGAAGCCGGCGGGCUAACCCGCAGGGGGGGCAGUCGUCGAAGAUAAGAUCGGUAAUUGGGGCGAAGUCGUAACAAGGUA
rnacentral:rRNA from 1 species